rnacentral:rRNA from 1 species
UACGUAGGGGGCGAGCGUUGUCCGGAUUUAUUGGGCGUAAAGAGCGUGUAGGCGGCCAGGUAGGUCCGUUGUGAAAACUCGAGGCUUAACCUCGAGACGUCGAUGGAAACCAUCUGGCUAGAGUCCGGAAGAGGAGAGUGGAAUUCCUGGUGUAGCGGUGAAAUGCGCAGAUAUCAGGAAGAACACCCGUGGCUAAGGCGGCUCUCUAGUACGGUACUGACGCUGAGACGCGAAAGCGUGGGGGAGCGAAACAGG